rnacentral:rRNA from 1 species
UACGGGGGGAGCAAGCGUUGUUCGGAUUUACUGGGCGUAAAGGGCGCGUAGGCGGCCAGCACAAGUCAGUUGUGAAAUCUCCGAGCUUAACUCGGAAAGGUCAACUGAUACUGUGCGGCUAGAGUGCAGAAGGGGCAACUGGAAUUCUUGGUGUAGCGGUGAAAUGCGUAGAUAUGCGGAGGAACACCGAUGGCGAAGGCAAUCCCCUGGGCCUGCACUGACGCUCAUGCACGAAAGCGUGGGGAGCGAAACAAGGAUUGAGAA